CACCCAAUAGCAUGUGGUAUGCACCUGCCCUCCAUUAUUGUAGUUGAUUGCAUGUAGGCAGGAGUCCCGUUCAAUCCGGGGUUGGGUGA